AUACGGAGGGUGCAAGCGUUACUCGGAAUCACUGGGCGUAAAGGACGCGUAGGCGGGUUGGCAAGUCAGAUGUGAAAUCCUACAGCUUAACUGUAGAACUGCAUUUGAAACUGCUAACCUAGAGUAUGGGAGGGGGAGAUGGAAUUAGUGGUGUAGGGGUAAAAUCCGUAGAUAUCACUAGGAAUACCGAAAGCGAAGGCGAUCUCCUGGAACAUAACUGAUGCUAAGGCGUGAAAGCGUGGGGAGCAAACAGGAUUAGAUACCCUAGUAGUCC
rnacentral:rRNA from 1 species